AGUUUAGUCUUCGCAGUUCAUCACGAAACUAGGGCAUUGAGUCUUCUUGUUCGCAAACGAAGGAUGUAAUAAACUAUUAAUGCAGUCUCCUUCCUUUCGGAUCUGUUCGCACUUCGCAGUCGGACUUUUGCCGCUUUGGCUCUUUGCAGGCUUGGCAGAGAUGCCAGAUGCGAACGUUUUUAAAUGCAAAACUGAAAAUGGCAAUGUUGUACGUUACUUUCAAGAUGGCUGCUGGCAUUCGAUGAGAGUCGACAGCAACUGACAGUUCGCACAUUUCGCAGGUGAAAUGGAUCGUCCGGUUUGUAGAAUGGUUUCGAGAUUAGAACAGGCUUUGAUUUUGUUGCAGCCAGCUGAUGAAUGGUGGUGUUAGCUGUUGCAUGCAGUCUGUGGUGCUGGUGUGAUGUCCAAUGGAACUGUUGCAUGCAGCGUGUAGUGCCGGUGUGAUGUCAAGGGGAGCUAUUUCAUGCAUCCUGUGGUGUUUACUUGAAAUGUAUUGGCUGUUGUGGACUUGUUCGUCCAUAUAGUAUGAUGAUUGAUGCAACCUGAUCUUACAAGAUAAGGAGUGAUUCAAUCGACAACUGCUGGUUUAAAUUGUUUUCUGGCCAAAAAAAACCUAAAUGUUAAUAUCAUGGUUGAGAACAACAGGCCCCUCUCUGGAAAUGCUGUUUUAAAUUUCUUGAAGUAUUGAAAAGCUGACUAUGUUGAAUAAAAUUAAAUUGUGAAAGAAAAUGGGUUUUAAAAAGGGGUUUAAUGUUUGCAGCAUCAUUAGUAUAAGGAGAAUAUUUGUUGUUUGAAAUUUGUUUUUGCAGUUGAACAGAUUUUCUGGUCUUGGGUACACUGUCUAAUAUAUCUAGCAUGUUAUAUAUUUUUUCUGCAUAAAUAGUAAAAUUAUUUCAAACUAAUAUUAAUAGUAUUGAAAUUCACAUUUGUCUGAUUGAAUUCGAUUUUGCGGCGAUUAUUGUAAGUAAUGAUAAAUAAAUUGAAUGUAUAUAAGUA